AUAUAUAUGACACAAUAUCAUGCGUAUAUCAAGUGUCUAUAUACAUAAUAAACAUGCAUAGCUUAUUAGAAAUUUGUCACAUGGCACAAAGGAGCCAAGAACUGAAUUGUUGAUCUAGGCCAAUAUCUGGAGAUUGUAUGUGCAUGAUCAUUACAAUCAGAUAAGAUAUGAAAGGUUUCAGUUCUUCAUGCUUUUAGUAGUCUCAGUGUAAUUAUAUCAUUUUAAUCGACACUUACUAGGUUCCUGUGACUUUACUGGUGCUUGCUUCUGUUCCUGUGCCCUCAACAAUUCUUGCCAAACCGAAGUAUGAAAUUUUGGGGUUCAUCUCUUCGUCUAACAGAAUGUUGCUUGUUUUCAAAUCUCUAUGAAUUAUCCUCAACCUUGAAUCUUGAUGAAGAUAAAGAACCCCUCUUGCUAUCCCCAAGAUGAUGUCAAUAACACCCCCUUCAUGUUGAGUGUGUGCCGAUGGUUCAUGCACCUUAACCGCCGAGAAUGGUACACAGAAUUCGUACACGUAGGUCACUUAGCAAAAUUUGGUUGAAAGAUAAAAAUAAAAAAUUUGAACCACACAGAUGCUGCCCGUAAAAAUUUUGUGAAACAAAAUCUGUACACUUAAUAUUUUUCUUUGGAAAAAACCCCUUGGACGGGGAAACUGCCAUGGUGCAGUUAUAGGGCCAAUUUGACAGUCCCGUAAUUGGGUGUUUUUUCAUUUAUUUUUUAAACUUUUAAUAGAAAAUUGCCAUUUGUAAUCUAGAAAAAAAAAAUUAUGUCAUUAAACCUAUUUGUGUAGCACAGUUGUAUAAAUUUUGAGCACGUUUAACUUAACUUAAAAAGGAUAUUAUCUAAUUGUAAUAUUCAAUAUCAUACAAACAUUACCCAACUUAUUUAAUUAAAUUAUUGUUGUUUAUUUUAUUAUUUUACGUUUAAAUUAUUUUGCUAACAUUAUUUUAGUUUUUUGUCUAAUAAUAGGAUUUUACUAUUCAAAAGAGAUAAUUUCAUGUUUCAAAUUGAUAAAAAGAUAAUUUUGUCAUAGGAUUUUCUUAUUUAAAAAAGAUAUACAAUUUCACGUUUUAAAUUAAGAGAGCUUUUCCAAUUUCGUGAUUCGAAUUAAUAUUAUACUAAAUGAAUGAUUUGUCAUUUUCAUUCCAACAUUAUUGAAACAAACAAAAUUUGCAGGUACUUUAAUUUCAAUGAAGUGGUUAUAAUUUAUUUUAUAAAUUAAUUAAUUAAUUUGGUCAUUAUCUGGUAAUUUGGGGGUAAUGGAAGGACAAAACAUGGAAUUGUCAAUUAAAGUGAAUUUUCAUUUAUGCAAACAAAACCCUAAACCACUGAUAAAGAGAGAGAAAGAAUGGGGGAAAAAAGAAGAAAAGGGAAAGAAAAAAGAAGGAAGGAGAAGGGAAAACAUAGCGCUGUCGUCCUUCUCAACCCUCUCGAAGGUGACUUUAGGUUUAUAGAGAUCAAAAAGGGGAAAGGGGAAAAAUGAAGAAGAAGAAAGAAGAAGCGAAAAGGGUGAAGUGUUCGAUUAAAACUUGGAGGAUCCAAUACAUAUCUCAUACCUAUAUACAUGUCGUAUCAUGUCCAACACGGGUACUCCUACUAUUUUGAAGAGUUCAAGCAUUGGAGGCUAUAAUGCUGUCAGCUCCUUGAGAAUGAUCAAUGUUUAUAGAGAAACAUAGGAAAAACAACAUAAAGAGAAUAAACCAACAAGUAUUCUUCCGAAUCAUAGCUGCAAAAGAUGUGUGUGUGUGAGAGAGAGAGAGAGAGAGAGUGAGUGAAACAAGAAGCCACUGUUUGGUGGUCAUUAUUUCCAUUUUAAAGAGUUUUGAAUAAUAUUUUUAGUUAAAUGUAUAGUUAAAAAUAAGAAAAAAAAAUUGGAUUUACAUACAGAAUAUUUUAUUUUGUAAAUCUCAGGUAAAAAAUGAUCCUGUUAAAAAAAAGGGGGGGGUUUUAAAACAAUGGGAAUCAAACGGAGGCAAGGUGCUUUUUGUCAAGUGCGUGCUAUUUAUGGGAGAAAGGCCAUUCACUUAUAUUUUUCCCGAUCUACAAAUGAUGCUGACCUGCUUUUUACACCAUGAAGGUUCCUGUGGGGUAGAAAGAUUUGAUUGGAGUUGGACUUGUGAAUACAUAGGUAGGCCAACGGACAGUGAUUUAAUCAACUUGAUUGGAGAAUGUCAAAUUAUGUUGUGGAUCAAUACAUUUUGAGCAAAAUAGUUAUUCCAUUAAUCAGUAUGGCCACAACAAAGUGCGGUACAUUCAACCCAAUAUUCAGUGUGAAAUGGAGCCUUCAAAUAAAGCUAGAUAGUGGGCUAUAGAAUUCCUCUCGCUAGCAACAUGUACCAUCUCAAUCACCAGUAUCAUCUAAUACAAAGCUACUGCCACCAUGAAUAAAUCACUUGAUUGGAGAAUGUCAAAUUUUGUUGUGGAUCAAUACAUUUUGAGCAAAAUAGUAUUCCAUUAAUCAGUAUGGCCACAACAAAGUGAGGUACAUUCAUCCGAAUAUUCAAUGUGAAAUGGAGCCUACAAAGGAAGCUAGAUAGUGGGCUAUGGAAAUCCUAUUGCUAGGAAUAUAGCAACAUGUACCAUCUCAAUCACCAAUAUCAUCUAAUACUAAGCUAUUGCCACCAUGAAACUGUGUCUUACAGCGAACAUCAGACCAGCUUGGAGUGCCAUAGAUUCAGCUACAGCAGACGAGAACCCCACUCCAUGCAAGAAACAUGAGCAGCUAUGGUCUCAAAUCACAGAAAAACUAGGCUAAGUGUCUUAAUCUUCAUUCACUAGAACCUCCAACGUCGGAUGAAAAUUAUAGCUGUCUUGCUUUGCAUUAGGUCUUCGGGUGCAGGGAUGGAACCACACAUUUUCUACUGUGGGGUCAAAAAUUAAAUAUGCUCGAACCGCACUUCAAGAAUGACAGGCUUCAGUCAUUGGCGCUCAAGCGUCUUCUUCUAGCCUUACCUGAUGUCCGAAGUUUCUAUCAUGUCAAAGCAUACCUAAAUUUUCGAAACACUAAAAAUGAAUAAAUACACAAAAAUAUAAGUCGGCAAAUAAACUAGAAUAAGAAAUUUCCCCAAAAAAGGGGAGAUCACCUGAUAGCUUUCAAUUACAUGAAUAAAAACGAACAUGUUUAUCAUUGCAACAAGUUAGUUGGGUUGAAUUACUUAUUCGCUCAAAGAUUCUUAUAAUUUACUUCACUUAAAUUAUUAUCAUAUUUUAUUAAUAUGAAGGAUAUAUAUAUAUAUAUAUAUGAAACCAAAGGGAUAAGAUGAAUAAAACGUAUAAUUACCAACAUAUAUGUACAUGGACGUGUAUAGAAGUAUGAAAUCAAAGGGAGAACAUCAAGAAAACAUAUACCUAUAUAUAUACGUAUAUAUUUACAUACAUGUGUGUGCACAGAAACAUGAAAUCAAUUUUUUACAUUAGGGACAUCACAGCUGCAGAAAAAAGAAAUAAUCAAAAUUAAGUUGAAAUUAGGCAAAUGGAUGGCAGAAAGUGAACAAAAGCAAAGAUCAAGAUGAAAAUGGUGAGUUUGAUAUCCUUGCAACUUGGAUAUACUUGUUUAUGGAAUUUUUUUCAAAUAUAUACCUUCAAUAACCAUAAAUUAUGCAACUACUGUGUAUAGAUUGAAGAAAAAAAUAAAUAAAUAAAAUUAUGGGGUCACUUGACCCCAUAUGAUCCCAUGUGGGUCCGUCCAUGUUAGGGUGGUGCAAUGCAGCUACUUGCCGGUCAGCAAAGGAACGAUCAUCAGGUCGUACAUGGAAGACAAAAAGUUUUUUUAAUUUUCUAACAAAAAACUCUAAAAAGUCUUCCACAAGCCACAAAUAUAUAACUCUAGUCAAGAGGAAUCUAGGAUUUUUGUUAAAGAUGACUUAAAUAAACCCAAAAAAAAAAAAUCAAUUUAAUUAAAUUUAUAUAUAAAUAAGGCACAAGGCAACAACGAUUCAAUAAGUUUAUUUAAAUAUAAGCUAUUAUCAAUAGCAAUUACCUAAUAAAUAAAAAUAUGAUGACAAACGAAGUACUUACGAAUUGUUGUUUGACAUACUAUUAUCAAUGGAAUACAAUGAAAGAGUUAAAAAUUUUCAAAUUCCUGAUUUUUAUUUUUUUAUUAUUAUGUGAAAAUAAAUUCAGAAAAUCAAAAAAGACAACUAUUUUUUUUUAAAUUACUCCCCUUCAAAGAAAAAUAAGAUUCUAUAUCUUUCUUACACUCCACCCAAUCAAAGGUAACAAUCACCUUUUGCACGUUCAUAUCUGUCAAUGUUAUUCACCCUUAGUAAAUAUAUAUAGAAACAAUUACCAAAAUAAUAUUCGCGUUGUUUAUCUCUUUUUAGUAUUAUUUUCCUGUAAAUUUGAUUGCAUAACCAUAAAAAUAUGAUGAUUUUCUUUAUAAAUUUUCAAUUCAAUAAUUAAAAUUUAAAAACGAUAAGAAUAAUUUGAUUUGAGUCAAAUUCUAAUAGCGUGCAAUCUUGUCGCACCUGGCCAACCUUCAACAAAAUACUGGUGAAACGAGAUAACAGACUAUGCCCAGUUUGUUUGUGAUUAAAAUCUAAAUUUUAAUCUAAAUCAAAGUCAACAAUUAAUUUCAACCAUGUAUUUCAUAGAAUCCACAACUUUUCAACCAUACAUUCCAUCAAUUUUUAUCAAAAGCUACUAAAAAUUUGAUUUUUAAUCCUAAUCAAUGAGGGGCUAUGUAUGUCUUCAGGAUUUUCACCUAAGAGGCGUGGACAGGCCUAGGGAUCCAUUAAUAUCCUAUUCAACAUCUGAUGUAACCAUUGUGUAUAUAUAAAUGUACAAGUAGAGUUCAGUAGUUGGAAGAUUAAAAUAUAGCAGAACAACAUACUCCAUUAUUUCUAGCAAUGGCAUUACAUAACAGUUUGUUUUCAUAUACAAUUUAUUUUAUUCAUUACUAAUAGAAUAUUUGUAUAUGACUCUUACCAAUACACCAGAAGUAAAAUAACAUAAAAGAGAUGUAAAAUGAGUGUAUCAGAGAUUGCAGUCUUACUCGGCAUAGUUCUGCAUACACCAGUUUCUAGAGGAUAUUAAGGAAGUAAUUGGUGCAAAUUUCGGUUGAACAUACAAACAAACAACACUAAUGCACGGAAAUAAGCAAAUUCCUCAUCUCCCUUUUGGAUCAGACAUUGUCAAUUCAUUGGAAAUUGAAUCCGGUUUAUUCGAGGAUGAGGAUGAUGUGCUAACAACACGUUUUCUCAUUACAAAAGCUGGUUGAUUGGGAACGGGAACAACUACAGUUUCGCCACUAAGCAUUAGGACUACAUUUAACAUAGUGGGACGAUCACUAGGAUCUUCUUCCACGUACAAAAGUCCAACAUUAAUGCACUUUAUAACUUCAGAUUUCUCACAAGAUUCAAGCAGUAUUGGGUCCACUAGAUCGAGUGCCUUGUUUUCACUCCACAAUCUCCAUACCUGCAGGAAUAGCUUCAAAAUAUUUUAGACUAUGAAUUGGAUAAAAUCUUGCAUAUAAAUGGAGGAAUUUAUCUACUUACAUAACCCAAGAGAUUCAAGUCUUCCGAGGAUUGGUAAAAUCCGGUGUUUUUCUUUCCCGUGACUAUCUCGAGUACAACAACCCCAAAACUAAAUACAUCUGACUUUAUAGAGAAUAUUCCAUCUGAUGCAUACUCCGGAGACAUAUAACCACUUGAUCAAGGUAAAUAGAAGUUAGUGUGUGUGUAUAUAUAUAUAUGACACAAUAUCAUGCGUAUAUCAAGUGUCUAUAUACAUAAUAAACAUGCAUAGCUUAUUAGAAAUUUGUCACAUGGCACAAAGGAGCCAAGAACUGAAUUGUUGAUCUAGGCCAAUAUCUGGAGAUUGUAUGUGCAUGAUCAUUACAAUCAGAUAAGAUAUGAAAGGUUUCAGUUCUUCAUGCUUUUAGUAGUCUCAGUGUAAUUAUAUCAUUUUAAUCGACACUUACUAGGUUCCUGUGACUUUACUGGUGCUUGCUUCUGUUCCUGUGCCCUCAAC
rnacentral:lncRNA from 1 species